GUGUGUGGUGGGUGUAGAUGUGUGUGUGGUGUGUGGGGGGGUGUGUGUAGGUGUAUGAGUGGAGGUGUGGUGUGUGGAGGUGUGUGUGGUGGGUGUAGAUGUGUGUGUGGUGUGUGUAGGUGUAUGAGUGGAGGUGUGGUGUGUGGAGGUGUAUGGGUGUGUAGGUGUAUGAGUGGAGGUGUAGUGUGUGGUGGAUGUGGUGGCUGGUGUAGA